CACACCCACACAAAACUGUAUAAAUAGAUAAGGAUAUGCAAACAUCAACAUUAUCUGCAGCGCUUCCCUGUCAGUUGUUAUCUGAGCUCGCCGAAAAGUCAAUAUGAAAGCCGUAUCUAUAAUCUGCGUACUCGUUGUCCUAAUGUUGAUGGUUGCCGCCGUCACACCAACUGAUUAUGGUGGGUAUGGGCAUCGCUCGUACUACCCCAGACGCUAUGGAUACGGCCGAAACUAUGGUAGAUACGGCCGAAACUAUGGUGGAUACGGCCGAAAUUAUGGUAGAUACGGCCGCUAUGGUGGAUAUGGCCGCUACAGUAGAAACCGUUACAGAGGAAGAUAUUACGGCUAGAAGAUUUGAUAUCGACACUAUACGUAGAUGCUCGAGUACAGACAUGACUCAUGGGAUUCCGUUCAAGAUAGAUAAUGCUGAUGAUAGUGUAGAUAUUUUACAAUUUCACCGUCAUUCCAUAAGCAAUAUAUAGUAAGCGGUGAGAACAAAAUGUUCACAUCUCACCCCCAUAUCGGGGCAAAGCGUAAAAUCUUACCAAUAAUUUGUAGAAUCUAUACAAGUACCUGAAUGUAGAAUUAGUUUAAUAUAAACAUUGGCUCAAAUAAAUUCCUAAAACGUUUAUCGGAAAGCAA